rnacentral:rRNA from 1 species
UAAUGCAGUCGAGCGAGCAAUCUUAACGGAAUACUUCGGUAGGAAGUCAAGAGCGCGAGCGGCGGAUGGGUGAGUAACACGUGGGCAACCUGCCCUAUAGCUUGGGAUACCACUUGGAAACAGGUGCUAAUACCAAAUAAGCAGCAAGAGCGCAUGCUCAAGCUGGGAAAGGCGGCUUUAAAGCUGUCACUACAGGAUGGGCCCGCGGUGCAUUAGCUAGUUGGUAAGGUAACGGCCUACCAAGGCGAUGAUGCAUAGCCGAGUUGAGAGACUGACCGGCCACAUUGGGACUGAGACACGGCCCAAACUCCUACGGGAGGCAGCAGUAGGGAAUCUUCCACAAUGGACGCAAGUCUGAUGGAGCAACGCCGCGUGAGUGAAGAAGGUUUUCGGAUCGUAAAGCUCUGUUGUUGGUGAAGAAGGACAGGGGUAGUAACUGAUUCUUGUUUGACGGUAAUCAACCAGAAAGUCACGGCUAACUACGUGCCAGCAGCCGCGGUAAUACGUAGGUGGCAAGCGUUGUCCGGAUUUAUUGGGCGUAAAGCGAACGCAGGCGGGAGAAUAAGUCAGCUGUGAAAGCCCUCAGCUUAACUGGGGAACUGCAGCUGAAACUAUUUUUCUUGAGUGCAGAAGAGGAGAGUGGAACUCCAUGUGUAGCGGUGGAAUGCGUAGAUAUAUGGAAGAACACCAGUGGCGAAGGCGGCUCUCUGGUCUGUAACUGACGCUGAGGUUCGAAAGCAUGGGUAGCGAACAGGAUUAGAUACCCUGGUAGUCCAUGCCGUAAACGAUGAGUGCUAAGUGUUGGGAGGUUUCCGCCUCUCAGUGCUGCAGCUAACGCAUUAAGCACUCCGCCUGGGGAGUACGACCGCAAGGUUAAAACUCAAAGGAAUUGACGGGGCCCGCACAAGCGGUGGAGCAUGUGGUUUAAUUCGAAGCAACGCGAGAACCU